CAAUUGCUGCUGGUCUUGUGACUUGUGACACCGUUUAGAAAGGCUCGUGUCGAUUGAUGUGUAUAUUUGGUUGCCCUGAACGAGCGAUACAAAGAGCCGAGCAGAGUACCUUGCAUCGGUGCGACGCAUUGCUUAUUUCACACGAGGGCACAAAAUGGAACCCAGUACACACCGCAAUACGCCGAGAGACAGUCAAAGCCGGGCCGACAGUCGCUCAGCCAUGGAGGCACCAUCGUUUUGGUAUUUUACGAAAUGUCCUCCUUUAAAAACUAUUAAAGUGAUUCUAAAUUUUAAUCUCAAUAUAAUUGUAG